AUUGAACGCUGGCGGCAGGCCUAACACAUGCAAGUCGAACGAGUGGCGGACGGGUGAGUAAUGUCUGGGAAACUGCCUGAUGGAGGGGGAUAACUACUGGAAACGGUAGCUAAUACCGCAUACCAUCAGAUGUGCCCAGAUGGGAUUAGCUUGUAGGUGGGGUAACGGCUCACCCAGUCGACGAUCCCUAGCUGGUCUGAGAGGAUGACGAGCCACACUGGAACUGGGCCACGGUCCAGACUCCUACGGGAGGCAGCAGUGGGGAAUAUUGCACAAGGGGCGCAAGCCUGAUGCAGCCAUGCCGCGUGUAUGAAGAAGGCCUUCGGGUUGUAAAGUACUUUCAGCGGGGAGGCGUUACCCGCAGAAGAAGCACCGGCUAACUCCGUGCCAGCAGCCGCGGUAAUUC
rnacentral:rRNA from 1 species